AUUGUUUUCACCUGUGUCUCGUUGGCUCCUCUACCUGAGCGUAUUUAAGUCUGUGUCAGAGGGCGUUGUACGAGUGUUCAGCUUCCUGGUGUACCUUUGCUUAUGGACUUUGGAACUUGGGUUUUUGCUGGCUCCCUGUUGGACUUGUCGCCCUUGUUUUGGACUGUUUACCUGCUUGUGACCACUGCCUGCCUGUAACCCGAAGAUCCUGCCAACUAACAACCAGACAAACGAGCGGGACGACAUUCAGAGAGAAUCCCCUUCAGAAAAACACGUCUACGUCCAUCAAGACUAAUCAAACUGAGCAGCAUGUGACAGUAACCGAUGAACCGAAUCUUUGCUACAAUCAUUUAAAUGGAAUAUUUGUUGCAGAGAGAGAGCAGUUAAUUUUCAACCCACCUCCAAAACCAGAGCAAGUAAGUCCAGUCAUCUCAGAAGUAAUGAGGUGUUUUUGACAAACUGCUGUGUUCACACGAGACACAACCGUUCAUUUCUUAUUGUUGGUCACCAGUUGUGUCUUUGGCCCCCAUGUUUAAUGAAUGCUGCGCUGAUGAAACGUCUCUGUUUGGAUUACGGUCGACUUAGUUCAGUUCUAGUUCAAGUAGAGACGAUUAAAGUGAUCAAAGUGAGGAGUUUAGUGUUAGUUUCAUAUUUCAUAUACGGAAAGCUGCGGAUGAGCUACAUUAAACAUUUGUUCCCAUUUAUCUUGACAUUUGUGCGGCGUUGCCAACAGACCUUUGCCAUUUUGAAAUAUAGGAUACUUGUCUUUUUUUUUUUUUUAAACACACCAAUUAGUUUUUUAAUAUAAAAGGUCCACAAAUCAUUCAUUUCUUUGAUGCUUUGAUGUCGUUCCCUUUCUGUGGUGAGGCCAAGAGCCAAUUAUAGUCCGUACAUCUCAGUCAGUUGUCUUUGUGACAUUAUCUUACAUCAUUAUUAAAAAUAUGUACAGAAAUAAUCCCUUCCUCAAACAUUUAAUAAAUAUCAGUUUAUUUUCUA